GACGAACCGAGCGAACGUUAUUCGGAAUCACUGGGCUUAAAGGGCGCGUAGGCGGGCGGUCAAGUCGGAGGUGAAAGCCUGCAGCUCAACUGCAGAAGUGCCCCCGAUACUGAUCGCCUCGAGGGAGGUAGGGGCGUGCGGAACUUCCGGUGGAGCGGUGAAAUGCGUAGAUAUCGGAAGGAACACCGGUGGCGAAAGCGGCGCGCUGGACCUCUUCUGACGCUGAGGCGCGAAAGCCAGGGGAGCAAACGGG
rnacentral:rRNA from 1 species